rnacentral:rRNA from 1 species
GGAAUAUUGGACAAUGGGGGAAACCCUGAUCCAGCCAUGCCGCGUGAGUGAAGAAGGCCCUAGGGUUGUAAAGCUCUUUCAGGUGGGAAGAUGAUGACGGUACCACCAGAAGAAGCCCCGGCUAACUCCGUGCCAGCAGCCGCGGUAAUACGGAGGGGGCUAGCGUUGUUCGGAAUUACUGGGCGUAAAGCGCACGUAGGCGGUUUGCCUAGUCAGAUGUGAAAGCCCCGGGCUCAACCCGGGAACUGCAUUUGAUACUGGCAGGCUAGAGUCCGGGAGAGGGUAGUGGAAUUCCCAGUGUAGAGGUGAAAUUCGUAGAUAUUGGGAAGAACACCAGUGGCGAAGGCGGCUACCUGGACCGGUACUGACGCUGAGGUGCGAAAGCGUGGGGAGCA